rnacentral:rRNA from 1 species
GACGAACGCUGGCGGCGUGCUUAACACAUGCAAGUCGAACGGAAAGGCCCUGCUUUUGUGGGGUGCUCGAGUGGCGAACGGGUGAGUAACACGUGAGUAACCUGCCCUUGACUUUGGGAUAACUUCAGGAAACUGGGGCUAAUACCGGAUAGGAGCUCCUGCUGCAUGGUGGGGGUUGGAAAGUUUCGGCGGUUGGGGAUGGACUCGCGGCUUAUCAGCUUGUUGGUGGGGUAGUGGCUUACCAAGGCUUUGACGGGUAGCCGGCCUGAGAGGGUGACCGGCCACACUGGGCCUGAGAUACGGACCAGACUCCUACGGGAGGCAGCAGUGGGGAAUAUUGCACAAUGGGCGGAAGCCUGAUGCAGCAACGCCGCGUGCGGGAUGACGGCCUUCGGGUUGUAAACCGCUUCCGCCUGUGACGAAGCGUGAGUGACGGUAAUGGGUAAAGAAGCACCGGCUAACUACGUG